rnacentral:rRNA from 1 species
CAGCCGCCACGGGAAUACGGAGGGUGCAAGCGUUAAUCGGAAUUACUGGGCGUAAAGCGCACGCAGGCGGUUUGUUAAGUCAGAUGUGAAAUCCCCGAGCUUAACUUGGGAACUGCAUUUGAAACUGGCAAGCUAGAGUCUUGUAGAGGGGGGUAGAAUUCCAGGUGUAGCGGUGAAAUGCGUAGAGAUCUGGAGGAAUACCGGUGGCGAAGGCGGCCCCCUGGACAAAGACUGACGCUCAGGUGCGAAAGCGUGGGGAGCAAACAGGAUUAGAUACCCGUGUAGUCCCUGUCUCUUAUAC